GUGGGCAUCGGGAGCAGACGAUGGUAAGUAAAUGAUCUAAUCAUUUCUCUUUAUAAAAAAAUAACUUUAUGUAUGUGUUUGAAUGCAUACUCAGCUUGGACGGUUACCGACUAAACUGUUAGUCACAAUGGCUAGUUUAGCUAGAUUUAGUGUGAUGUCUAGGUUAUUAAAGUGUUUCCCGUGCAAAAACAUGCUGCAUGAUUUUAAAAUCCAGAUGUUUGAUGCACUGCAAGUGAUUGUCAUGUUGUCGUGGGCGCCGCCAUCAUCGAAGAUGGCGAUCGUUGAUGGCGUCUGUCCGCCAUUUUGGAUUGCCCGUACACAAAAAGUACAAUGAUGAGGAUGGACGGUUGUGUUUAUCCUGCUUGUUACGUGUGAAAUUAUUCUAUGUCUUAUCUCUUUUAGUACGAAAUUCGAUCAAUAAUAGAGUUUCUUAAACACACUUUUAAUCGCUUAUAUUUCUAUGAAAUUUUUUGAUUAGCUUAUUAUUAUUAACUAAUAUAAUAUUCAUUCAUAACAAUUUUGAUUUAAAUUAAUUAUUCACAAUUAAUAAAUCUGAUAUUUUCUGU
rnacentral:lncRNA from 1 species